rnacentral:rRNA from 1 species
AGAAUCAACGCUGGCGGCGUGCCUAACACAUGCAAGUCGAACGAGAAAGGGACUUCGGUCCUGAGUAUAGUGGCGCACGGGUGAGUAACACGUGAAUAAUCUACCUCCGAGUGGGGAAUAACCUGGAGAAAUCUAGGCUAAUACCGCAUAACACUUACGAGUCAAAGCAGCAAUGCGCUUGGAGAGGAGUUCGCGGCAGAUUAGUUAGUUGGCGGGGUAAUGGCCCACCAAGACGAUGAUCUGUAUCCGGCCUGAGAGGGCGCACGGACACACUGGAACUGAAACACGGUCCAGACUCCUACGGAGGCAGCAGUGGGGAAUUUUGCGCAAUGGGGGAAACCCUGACGCAGCAACGCCGCGUGGAGGAUGAAGUAUCUUGGUACGUAAACUCCUUUCGAUGGGGAAGAUAAUGACGGUACCUAUAGAAGAAGCCCGGCUAACUUCGCGCCAGCAGCCGC